GAAGAGACAAAGGUAUGGGGAAUCCAAUUAUAACCUAGCUCUCAGAGCAAAGCAAAGCGAAAGUGCCUUAAACUCGCUAACAAAACAAAGGUCAGAGACCUAGAGUUGUUUCAGUUCUGCUCUGCAGGCCCAGGAGAUUCAGAACUGAGAAGAUAGCUAGGCUUAACUUCUUGAUGGUUUGAGAAUGAGGGAGGAGAGUGGAGGCAAAGCUGGGUGACGAAAGAGAGGCAUGGGGGAGGAAUUAUUACCCUAGAAACUAACAACAUAAAACUGUCAGGGUCCCAGCAGCUGCAACUCUAGGCCUAAAUGAGGUGAGCUGUCUUGGAGAACUGAAGUUCUGCCCCUUCCCUUCCUGACUUCAACACCACCUACCUCUUCUCUCUGGAGACUAGGCCUGGGGAUUACAUCUUAGACCGGGGACUGUGGAAGUUCAGCUAUGAAGAACUCUUUGGGGAAUCAUUCCCCCACCCCAAGAUUCCCAACUGGAAAUUAACUACUUGCUUGGGAAGAAAUGCAACCGGGGCAAGCUUCAACACCUGGAAGGCUGAGUUCAAGGAAGCCAACUACCCGGGUCGAAGUGAAGAAACCCCAGCAGACAGAGGUGGGAAUGUUAAAUGCUCCCUCACUCCCCCUCCUGUCACCCCUCACACAAGUCCACUCGCAUCCCGCCAGGCCCGCCGCCCACCUGUCAGCGGAGUAAUGAAUGCUUGCUCGGGGCCCUGGGCCCCCCUGGAGUCGUUCAUCACUGCCAGAACCGCCUACCUCUGCCUUCCGCCCGGAGGGCUUUGCGGCCGGGGCUGCAAGACCCUCUCUCCCCCCACCUCGAUCACUAAUUGUCAGAUUGAGAUGUUGAUUUGUCAGCUGGGAGCUAGCGCCAAAGAAUCUGCAGUAAAACCUGG
ensembl:lncRNA